UCUGGAUCGCUGCCGAGAACUUGGACUGCUUGCUCUUUGGUCUUCACCGCGGCAUCCACUGUAGUAAGAAGUGGCCCAGUUUGGUGUCUUGUCAUCCUGUUGUCCUGUACUUUAGCGCUUUACGAAAGUGUAAGAGCUUGUGACUUAUUCCUGCAAGUGGAAAGAAAUAAUUGAGAAUGAUUUGGCGUCUCAGUGCGUCAGUCCCCACCCUACACUUCCGCUGUCCAAUACUGGGAAUGGACCGCAGGGCCUAAGGCUGGAUGCAGUGACACACACCUAUAAGCCCAGCACUCCAGAAGCUGAACCAGGAGGAUUGCUGUGAGUGUGAGGCCAGCCUGGGCCACAGAAUGAGUUCAAAACCAGCCUGAACUGCAUAUUGAAAUCCUGGUUCAAAAAAGAUUAAAAAAUCAGGGCAGCCAAGGACACAUGAAGUGAGUUCCAGCACAUCAGUGCUUGCCCCAGUAGAGCUUUGGACCAUCACCCACAGUGGUUAGGAGACCUCCCAGCUUCCUGGAACACCAGAGGUGUCAUGGGAAUCCUGUGGGCCUAACUGGACCAUGCUCAGCAACCUCCAUUCAGUUCUUGUAGGAGCCGAUUUCCAUCACACCCAAGGGAAGCUUUGGAACAUCACUUGAAACACAAAAAUAUAGGAAAAUGAAAGACAAAAGACUAAAUGCAAUCUCAAAACUCCAGCCCAUCCCAAGAAAGCCUAGGAGCCAUGUAUAUAGAACAAAAUGUGUGCCACAUACCUGAAAUACAUAAAAUAUUAGCAACUGAAAUAAAGAAGCAACUCUGGGAAGCUUUAAAGGAAUUCAAAUUAGAAAUAAUCUCCCAGGUCAAAGAAGAAAUGAUAAAAGUAAUGAAAGAGAUGCUGAACACAUCUAAACAAGACACUGUUAAAAAAUUAGAGGAACAAAACAAAAAGAUAGAAUCCCUGGAUGAACAAUACAAGAAACAAACAGAAUACAUGAAGCAUAUUCAAAGAAAUAUACAGGAAAUCAAAGAUUCCAUUGAAAGCUGUCAAAACUGCCUCAAUGAAAGUGAAGAUAGAAUUUCAGACCUCGAGGACAAGAUUGCAGUUAGUGAACAGGAAAGGAAAGAUCUCUUAAAAAUAAUGAGGAAUCGGAAAAUAACAAUUCAAUGGCUGAAAGAUGAUUCAAAGAAAAACAAUAUAAGAUUAAUAGGGAUAAAAGAAAAGGGGAUAGCACAAAUGAUAUCAAGAGACUAUUUACAAAAGUAAUAGCUGAAAAUUUCUGAAACAUGAGAAUGGAAACUGACAUUAGGAUUAGUGAAGCAUACAGAACUCCAAAUAGCCACAACUAAAAUAAAACUACACUCAGACAUAUAAUAAUCACCUUCCGAAAAAUCAAACAUUAGAAUAUUAAAAGUUGUUAGAAAGAAAAGACAGAUCACCUAUAAAAGAAAGCCUAUCAGAAUCACCACAGACUUCUCAACACAAACAAUGAAAUCAAGAAGAGCAUGGAGGGAAGUAUUUCAGAUCCUAAAGGAAAACAACUUCCAACCUAGACUGAUGUACCCUGAAAAACUGUACUUCAAAAUAGAUGGAGAAAUAAGAUACUUCCAUGACAAAGAACAGCUGCAGAACAGGGUUGCACGCCAACCCUGCAAAGAAUACUGAAAGACAGUUUAGAUACACAUAGGAAAAAACCACUAAGGAAGGCAGACAAACAGAAUGGAAAGAUAAAGAUAGAUAGAUUCCUAGAAAACUCAACUACCAAAGCUGGGUCAAGAAGAUGUAAAACUCCUGAGUAACCCAAUUUCUAUUAAAGAAAUUGAAAAUGUAAUUAAGUCCUUACCUACAAAGAAGAGCCCAGGCCCAGACGGAUUCCCUGUGGAAGUCUACAAGAAAUACAAAUACAAGAAGACUUACUGCCGACACUCCUCAAACUCUUCAAUGAAAUUGAAAGGGAAGCAAUUCUUCCUAAGUCAUUCCUGGAAGCAAAUAUUACUCUAGUGCCAAACCUGAGAAAGACUCGACUAACAAAGAGAACUACAGGCCAGUCUCCCUAAUGAACAUAGAUGCAAAAAUCCUCAAUAAAAAUUGGCAAACAGGAUGCAGCAACUCAUCAAGAAGAUUAUACACUACAACCAAGUGGGGUUCAUCCCAGGUGUGCAAAGAUGAUUCAACAUAUGUAAAUCAGUAAAUGUAAUCCACCAUAUCAAUAAAGGCAAAGGUGAAAAAUCACAUGAUCAUUUCUAUAGAUGCAGAAAAAGGUUUUGACAGGGUCCAACAAUCAUUCAUGAUAAGAAACUUACAGAAAAUUGGAAUAGAUGGUCUUUACCUCAAUACGAUAAAGACCAUCUAUGAUAAACCAACAGCCAGCAUCAUAUUAAAUGGCCAAAACCUGAAGGCCUUUACCUUAAAAUUAGGCACAAGACAAGGAUGUCCCUUAUCACUGCUUCUAUUCAACAUAGUACUGGAAAUACUAGCCAGAGUAAUUAGACAAAAGAGAGAAAUAAAAGGGGUAAAGAUAGAAAAAGAGGAAGUUAAAUUAUCAUUAUUUGCAGAUGACAUGACACGUUAUGGAUUAAGAACUGGUGGUCAACUUAAUGCCAGCUGGAUUACAUCAGCAUGGCAUUGAGCGAAGAUGCUCUACCUGAGGAAAGUUGCCAGGAUAAAUAUGUGAAGAAGAAGGGAGGUGUGGAGGGUGUUGAUGCAUUAAUGCAUUGUUGCACUGAGGCACUGUGGGUUCUCCCAUGAGUUGCUGUUUGAGCCAUUGAUUCUCAUGGAGAUGCUCUGGUCCUCACAUGGAGCAUUGCUUCCUGGCUCCAGAGAGGAAGACAUGUGCCACUUGGUCUCUAGGAUGACCUCAACACACUGCUUCCUCGAAUAUACCCGACUGUGCUUAUCAUCGGAGGAGCUCGGGGCUUCUGUAUCACUGAGGAUGGCUGUGGUGCCUUUCGGACAGUCCCGCUCUUUGAUGUGAGUGUGACUUCUCUGCUCCAGCAUAGAACCCUCAUCCCACUAGCACAGCUCCUUCACCUUGCUGGCAUAGACUUUCUGGCUUCCACCACUGACCCUUUGGUCUUCCCAGCACGGAUCCAUAAAAGAGACUGGUGUGAGUCCUUCUUGUGGGCUCUGGACCUCCAUUUGGACUCAUGGGAGACAUUGUCAUGAACUCUGGGUUUUUAUCUGGACUCAUGUGAGACGUUACUGUGGGAUUUAGGCUCUUGACUAAAUAAUCUAUGUCUUUGGUGUUGCCGAUAGAUUUCCUGCAUUUUCUUGUGUUAACUCCCAGUGACCAUUAUAAAAAUAAUAUUAUAAACUCCAUGUCCUGAUUCUAAUUGUUCACACAACCCCUAACUACAACAAUACUCUACAUAGAAGACCCCCAAAACUCCAUUGAAAGAUUCCUAGAUACAAUAAAUAAAUUCAGCAAUGUAGCUGGAUAUAAAAUUAAUAUUCAAAAAUCAAUAGCAUUUCUAUAUACUAACAAUAAAUUCAUGGAGAGAGAAAUAAGAGAAGCCACACCCUUCACACUAAUCCAAACAAAUGAAAUACUUAGGAAUUAACCUUAGGAAAGAAGUAAAAGAUCUAUACAGGGAAAAUUCUAAUACCCUGAAAAAAUAAAUUGAAGAUGAUCUCAGAAAAUGGAAAGACAUCCUUUGUUCAUGGGUAGGAAGAAUAAAUAUUGUGAAAAAGGUCAUUUUUCAAAAACUGGUAUACAGAUUCAAUGCAAAAUCUCAAUGAAAAUAUCAUCAACAUACCUCAUAGAUCUAGAGAAAUCACUCCUAAAAUUCAUCUGGAACCAGAAGAGAUCUAGAAAGCAAAGGCAAUUCUAAGCAGCAAAGGCAAGGCAGGAGGCAUCACAAUCCCUGUCUUGAAGUUUUACUACAAAGCUACUGUAUAAAAUCAGCAUGGUACUGGAAUAAAAACAGAUCUGAAGAUCAGUGGAAUAGAUUAGAAGAGACAACCACAACUACAAACACACUCAACCACCUUAUCUUUGAUAAAGGGGCCAAACAUGUUCACUGGAAGAACUACAGUCUCUUUAAUAAAUGGUGCUGGAAAAACUGGCUCUCCAUUUGCGGAAAACUAAAACUACACUCAUGCCUAUCACUAUUUACUAAACUAAAAUCUAAAUAGAUCAAAGAUCUGAAUAUUAAAACAGAAACAUUAAGUCUGUUGGAAGACAAAUUAGGUAGAAAUCUUGAAGACAUAGGGGUAGGCAGAGAAUUCAUAAACAGGAAUCAAACUGCAUGGGAAAUACUUCCCAGAAUCAAUAACUGGUAUCACAUCUUAUUAAAAAUUUCUGCAUGUCAAAAAAGCCCACAAACUGGGAAACAAUCUUCAUGAACUGCCCCUUAGUGAACACAGACAAAGGACUUCUGUCUAAAACAUAUAGAGAAUUAAAAAAAAUCAGACCCUCUAAUUUCAAAGGUCCAAUCCAAAAA